rnacentral:lncRNA from 1 species
GCUUGGUUAACCUGCUCUCACUUCCCUUAGGAAGGUAAUUGAAGUCAAAGAAGUUGCAUGUAGUGAUUUGGAGGUUUGCAACUAGGAAAUUCUUAGAUUUAGGGGCAUAUGUAGCCUUUCAUGUACAAAGUUCUCAUUUUAACCUACCUCAGGCUACUCAGCUUUACUGAUUUAUAGUUAAUUAGGAUUGAGAUUUUCAUUGAAAAUUUGAAUACUUAUAUGCUUUUUUGUAUGCAUUUCAGAUCAUGUUGGCUGAAGCAAAUAAUUGUAACAGCACUCAAGAAAUGAGUGAAUACCACAGGGAAGAGCUUCAACCACCCCUGCCCCUGACAACCUUCACUUUUUUGGAAUCCUCGACAUGAUUUUGCAGAAAGGAAGAAAAGAAGGGAGAAAAGCUUCCGAAGUGCUGACUGUAUGUAGAAAUACUUCCCAGAGAACUAAAAAUCUAAGUCGACAAGGCUGCGCAGUAAGCCCAAAACAUGUUUCAGCAUCUCACUCUUAUCUGAACAACCCAGGAGCAACGCUGACAAUCCGGUGUGGUACUGAAUGUUCUGUUGAAGGCAACUUUAGAAAGCCCUGUGCAGAUGGAAUAUUUCAACUAAAUUAGAAUAAGAACUAACGGGAAGCAACAACAAAGAGAAAUCAACAAAGAAGAAAUAACUUCAGAGAAAUACUGAUGCUUUCAACUAUACAGAUAUCAUUUUCUACAGACAUUUAUUUUGUUUGUCAAAGGCCAAGGAAUCAAAUCAGCUGUUUUGAAGGUACGUUUUCUAAAAAUUGCUGUCAUCGUCACAGUUUUCCUAAAGUACUACGGUGCGUGGCCACACAUGACAUGAAGCACCGCUGCCAUGACUCUGCUUGCCUAAGAAAGAAGAAUAUAAAUAAUGCCAACCUCUGGGAGAAUUAUGGAGUCAGUCAUGCUCAUUUUUGUCAUCUUCAGCUAUUCCCACUCCAGAUUUUAAGUGUCAAAGAGUUGAACGCCUUUCUCCCUUCUUCUCAAUGCGAGAAAUACUUCUUUUGGACUGACCUUCGAUGUAGGGUGGAGCCAAGUUCACGGAAGCAGCCUCUUCUCCACCCCCACUUUAUUAUUCCCACACCACUCAAGGUCCACACCACUCCAAGGUAGUGAGGAUGAGAUUUGGC